AUACUUUUCUCGGCCUUUUGGCUAAGAUCAAGUGUAGUAUCUAUUCUUGUCAGUUUAACAUCUUGUAUAUGUGGUGUAUAUCGCUUCAAUUAAUGAAGAAUUUACCUUAA
rfam:Nicotiana attenuata strain TT chromosome 8, whole genome shotgun sequence.